CGGGGUGAGGAAUACAUCGGAAUUUGCCCAGUCGUGGGGGAUAACGUAGGGAAACUUACGCUAAUACCGCAUACGACCGAGAGGUGAAAGCGGGGGAUCUGUAAGGACCUCGCGCGAGUGGAUGAGCCGAUGUCGGAUUAGCUAGUUGGCGGGGUAAAGGCCCACCAAGGCGACGAUCCGUAGCUGGUCUGAGAGGAUGAUCAGCCACACUGGGACUGAGACACGGCCCAG
rnacentral:rRNA from 1 species